GGGGCGUCAGGUCGGCACCGAGUGCGUCCAAGCUAGCUCACCGCGAGCUCCAGUGCGGUGAUAAGGAUGCCAUGGCGUCGUGCUCAUCCGCUCGUCGUAGGCCGGCUAUAAAUAGCCGCGGCCCGAGACCUCCCCGAGCACCUGAGCACCUCCAUCCUCAUCUCCCCGCUCCACUGGUCCUCGCCGUCCACUUGCCGGAGCUCCAUCUCUUCUCCUCGCCUCCAAUCGCCGCCAUGGCCGCCGCCCCUCCUCUGCUAAAUUCGCUUGGUGCAGGCCCCCUCUCUCCCGUCUGACCUCGCCAUCGUUCUCCCAUCCCCGGCGCGGACCUCCUCAACCCCUGGCCUAGCCCUCCGAAGGCCGAUAGCCACCGCACCCUUCGGCACCCGAGCCUCCGUCCGCCAUAGCCGGGGCACCCAUGCCCUGAUCCUCCCCAGGCUUCGCCACCCACGGGGAUGGAUGUGGCUCGGUCCCUAUAUCUCGCCGCUGCCGGACCGCGAUGAAUGGUGGUCGGAGCCAUCGGCGGCCGUCGCCGGUGUUAAUCCUCCUCCCCUGCCCUCUGUUUUGUCGCGAGGAGGAAGGAGGUUGAAGAAGGAGAGAGGAGAGAGAGAAGAAAGGGACCAGACAGGUGGGCCCUGACCCCACCUGUCGGUGAGAGAGGCACCCGCCAGCAUGGAUAAGUGGAGACGUAUUUCUCGAAAUACGCUUUCCCUAGCAGAAAGCAUAUUUUGGUAGAAGGUGCCAGCGGCUGUUCUCUCAGGGACCCCGAUGGUAAUUAUUUUAAUUGUAGAUUGCUCCUUUUUCUUCAAAUGCUUGUAUCUUUUUGCUCGGGACUCCGAUUGAGGUGAUUCCAAAGCCCACGUGUUCAUCUCGUCGAGCCCGUCAUGCUGGCAUAAUUUUCACAAGGUGGUUACACAGUGAAAAUGACCCUUUUGCCCCUGUCUCCAAUCAGCCCCCUUCGAGAGAGAGCGGUUUCCGGCGAUCCUUUCCGCGGACUCUUCGCACCUCUUCCGGGAGUAUUCUUCACCCCCACGCAAGCCGACCACCUGACAUAUGCCCUAAAGCUUUGAUCUGUGUUGUUCCUACAUGUUUAAUUAAUAUGCUUGUGAUUGUAUGUGUCGUAACGUGGCCUGUAUGUGACUCCGAUGAACCCUUGCUCGCAUUUUCUUCAAUAUGGCACCACGCCUGAGUCUGUGCUCCUUUCGGCCGUCCGGGGUGGAUGCCAACUUUAUAUUUCUCUUGUCAGCAGCUAGCUCGUGUUCUGAGCUGCUUUUCGUCCGUCACGGGCAACUGUUGAACUUCUUUCCGUGGGAGUGACCCUAUGCUCUGAGCUGUUCUUCUGCCGUCUUAGUGAACUGCUACAUUCUUCUUAUCAACACCGCACCAUGCUCUGUGCUGCUUUCCAGCCGUCUUGAGCCGGGGCCGGUAACGUCCUAGAUCUGUGUUGUAAAGACCGUUCUGGUGGCUACCAAUUUAUUUGCCGGUUUUAUGCGAGGGUUCCAAGGGUCUAAUUUAGGGUUAGAGCUUGUAAAGUAAUAACUUGUCAUUUACAUCUUGUCUUAUUAAUGACUCAUAAUAUAGAGAUAGGUUGUGGUGUUUCUAGCGUUGUUAGUUCAUGCAUAAUUAUCAUCAUGUUAAGUUAUUGUUGAUAACAACCAUACUUGAUAAAUAUGUUGUUAAAACCAAACCUAAUGGGUUGAUGUUGAGUCACCUGUUCGGGCCUAUCCGUGCAACCACAUAUGCCAAUAUGGGACGGUCGUGACUUGGGCUGAUCGCAUGACCUUUCACCGGUACCUCCAAAGAGGGAGGGUUAUGAAGGCGUGCUACCUUGAUCAGGUAGGCGGUGAUAAUCCUGUGAGCCCAGUUGAGUUGUUUUGGGCCUGUCCCCGGUUGGGACAGUUCAGUUUGGCCACGACGAUGACAUGUGUCAUGAGGACUCAAGGCCACCCAAGGCAGGACUCCGAGGGAGAAUGAUUGCCGGUGGUACGAUGAGAGAGUCACGGGUCAGGCAGGUUUCAUUGGAGCAACAUUGGUCCACCCGAAUGGGAUCACGAGAUCAAUGCUCUAGAGUGUGGGUAAAGUGUGCAACCUCUGCAGAGUGUGAAAUCUAUUCGAAUUGCCGCGUCCACGGUAUUGGACAGCCUGUCCCGAUCUCAGUAGGUGGUCAACCAUAUCAGGGAUGGUAAUGAUGGAAGAUCUCAUCUAGUGCAGACAUCGGAAGACGUCUGGUAUAUGACAUGUUAGCCAUGGGAUGGCUAUGAGAUGAGUGGUCGGAUAACCACAUGAGUUGGAUUGGAUUUGGAUAAGAUUCAGACUGGAUCAUGAGAAUAGUCGGAGUAUGAUCCAUUUACCUAAUAUGCUUUACUUUAUCAUAUUUACAUUAGAAGUUAUCUUGCUGGAUAACCCUGUUAUACCUUGAUAAUUGUUAUUGCUCUAAUAACAAAUACAUGCUUGAAUGCCAUAGAUUGCUUUGCUUAGUGUAUAUGUUAGUUUGGUUUUGCUUGCGAGUACAUUCAAAAGUACUCAUCGGUUUUUAACAUGGCCAGGUUCACAUAAGGAUCCGUCGCCUGUCAGCAAGGAACUGGAGCGUUCGCGGGCUAGGAGCGUAAUCGAGUCAGAUCCCUGUGGAUUGGAGCCGCACAAACACCAUGCUGCCUUAGAUAGAGCUUUUCCCGCUGCCAUCACCCUUGUAGUUCAUCAUGUAAAACUCUUAUAUUCAUGCCUGUGUUCAUUAUACUUCUUGUAAACGUGCAUGCCAGAGUGAUUUCCUAGGCUGG
rnacentral:lncRNA from 1 species